UACGUAGGUGGCAAGCGUUGUCCGGAUUUAUUGGGUUUAAAGGGUGCGUAGGCGGUCAUGUAAGUCAGUGCUGAAAUAUCCCGGCUUAACCGGGAGGGUGGCAUUGAUACUGUAUGACUUGAGUAAAGUUGAGGUUGGCGGAAUUGACGGUGUAGCGGUGAAAUGCGUAGAUAUCAGGAGGAACGCCGGAGGCGAAAGCGAGUGACUGGCGCGUUCCUGACGCUGAGGUGCGAAAGCUAGGGGAGCAAACAGG
rnacentral:rRNA from 1 species